rnacentral:rRNA from 1 species
UACGUAGGUGGCAAGCGUUGUCCGGAUUUACUGGGCGUAAAGAGCGCGCAGGCGGUCGUUCAAGUCGCGUGUGAAAGCCCCCGGCUCAACUGGGGAGGGUCACGCGAUACUGAUCGACUCGAAGGCAGGAGAGGGUAGUGGAAUUCCCGGUGUAGUGGUGAAAUGCGUAGAUAUCUGGAGGAACACCGGUGGCGAAGGCGGCAUCCUGGACCAACACUGACGCUGAGGAGCGAAAGCCAGGGGAGCAAACGGG